rnacentral:rRNA from 1 species
GGCUCAGAACGAACGCUGGCGGCGUGCUUAACACAUGCAAGUCGAGUGCGCGGUUGUAGCAAUACAACUGGCGCACGGCGCACGGGUGCGUAACACGUGGGUAACCUGCCCUUUGGUGGGGAAUAACUCCGCGAAAGCGGAGCUAAUUCCGCAUAAGAUCCGCAAGGAUGAAAGCCGCAAGGCGCCGAUGGAGGGGCCCGCGCCCGAUUAGCUUGUUGGUAGGGUAACGGCCUACCAAGGCUUUGAUCGGUAGCUGGUCUGAGAGGAUGGCCAGCCACACUGGAACUGAGACACGGUCCAGACUCCUACGGGAGGCAGCAGUGGGGAAUCUUGCACAAUGGGCGAAAGCCUGAUGCAGCGACGCCGCGUGGGGGAUGAAGCUUCUCGGAGUGUAAACCCCUUUCGAUCCGGACGAAUGCCCGCAAGGGAUUGACGGUACGGAUAUAAGAAGCCCCGGCUAACUACGUGCCAGCAGCCGCGGUAAGACGUAGGGGGCCAGCGUUGUUCGGAAUUACUGGGUGUAAAGGGUUCGUAGGCGGUGUGGCAAGUUGGGAGUGAAAUCUCUGGGCUUAACCCAGAGGCUGCUUCCAAAACUGCUGUGCUUGAGUGUGAGAGAGGCUCGUGGAAUUGCAGGUGUAGCGGUGAAAUGCGUAGAUAUCUGCAGGAACACCCGUGGCGAAAGCGGCGAGCUGGAUCACUACUGACGCUGAGGAACGAAAGCUAGGGGAGCAAACAGGAUUAGAUACCCUGGUAGUCCUAGCCCUAAACGAUCAGGACUUGGGGUGCCACCCGUUCGGGUGUCGUCCCGGAGCUAACGCGUUAAGUCCUGCACCUG